CCCUUAGAUGUUCUGGGCCGCACGCGCGCUACACUGAUGCAUGCAACAAGUCUUUUCCUUGGCCGAGAGGUCUGGGCAAUCUUUGAAUAUGCAUCGUGAUGGGGAUAGACGAUUGCAAUUAUUCGUCUUCAACGAGGAAUUCCUAGUAAACGCAAGUCAUCAGCUUGCAUUGAUUACGUCCCUGCCCUUUGUACACACCGCCCGUCGCACCUACCGAUUGAAUGGUCCGGUGAAGGCUUCGGAGGCGGCUUUCUCAAUGUUUAUUCGGCGAGACUGCUGCCAAAGUUGAAUGAACCUUACCAUUUAGAGGAAGGUGAAGUCGUAACA
rnacentral:rRNA from 1 species